CCGCGCCCUCUGGCACCUUCUCUCCUCCUUACCUCUAGAUCUUUGAUCCUCUUCUCCUCAUUUUCUCCCUAUUCACUCUCCCUUUGGUGCUCUUGGCUUGAUCUUGCUUCCAUCCUUGGCUGGAUCUCUAAUCCUCUGAGCAAGGCUUUUGCUCCUUCCAAUUGAUCAGUUCCUUUGCGCCCCUAUUGGGCCUCUCUUUGUUGCCUUGAGUUCACCCUCCUCUAUGCUGAACUUGCUUGAAGGCCGAGUUUAAUUGUGGGACCUUUCUCCCUAAGCGAGUCAACUCGAUAGCAGGUAGGCCCAAAAGCUCUUAUGCUCAAGUCUCGAAGUACUGCA
rnacentral:lncRNA from 1 species